rnacentral:tRNA from 1 species
UACUCGUAGUAGUAAAGGUACUACUAGUACUACUCGUAAUAGUACAAGAACUUCUAGUUCUACUAGUAGGAGUAGC